GUAAGAGCAUUUGGCGGAUGCCUUGGCAUGUACAGGCUAUGAAGGACGUGGCACGCUGCGAUAAGCGUCGGGGAGCUGUGAGCAAGCUUUGAUCCGGCGAUUUCCGAAUGGGGAAACCCACCCUCACCAUUUCCUCUGUGAUCCCUUUGGGGUUGUAGAAGAGGUGGAUAGGGUAUCACCUUGCUGAAUAUAUAGGCUUGGUGAAGCAAACCCGGGGAACUGAAACAUCUAAGUACCCG
rnacentral:rRNA from 1 species